rnacentral:rRNA from 1 species
AUGAAUUUUAAACAACUUGAUCAUGAGCAUGUUGCCCAAUCUUGGGAAAGAAUGAAAUUAAUGAUUCAUAAUUGCCCUACUCAUGGUUUGAAUUUAUGGAUGAUCAUACAAAAAUUUUAUGCCAGUUUGAACUUUCCUUCUAGAAAUCUUUUAGAUUCGGCCGCGGGAGGCACGUUUAUGGAAAUCACGCUAGGAGAUGCUACAAAACUUCUUGAUAAUAUUAUGGCUAAUUAUUCUCAAUGUCACACCGAAAGAUCUUCUAGUAAAAAAGUGCAUGCUAUAGAAGAAAUCAAUGUUUUGAGUGGAAAGAUGGAUGAACUUAUGAAGUUGUUUGCUACUAGAAAUACUCCUCUUGAUCCCAAUGAUAUGCCUUUGUCUACUUUGAUUGAGAAUAAUAAUGAAUCUAUGGAUGUGAAUUUUGUUGGUAUGAAUAGUUUUGGAAACAAUGCUUAUAGAGGAAACUUUAAUUCUAGACCGUUCCCUAGUAAUUCCUCUAAUAAUUAUGGAAAUUCCUACAAUAAUUCUUAUGGUAAUUUUAAUAAGAUGCCCUCUUAUUUUGAGAAUAGUGUGAAAGAAUUUAUGAUUUCUCAAAAGAAUUUUAAUGCCUUGCUUGAAGAAAAAUUGCUCAAAGUUGAUGAUUUGGCUAGGAACGUUGAUAGACUUUCGCUUGAUGUUGAUUCUCUUAAACUUAGAUCUUCUCCUCCUAAGCAUGGUAUCAAUGAGCCUCUCAAAGCCAUGAGAAUUUCCAUUUAUGAGUGCAAGGAAAGAACCACUAGAUUGCGUGCUAACCUAUUAGAUCUUUGUUUUGCAAUAUGA